AAAGGUCAUCCCUCCCCAUAGCAACGAGGGGGCCUGACAGGCCCUAAAUGCACUUUGAGAAUGUAAUCGGGACAUUGUUUUUGCAACCCGCUACUUCCAGGAAGACUCUGAAGUGGGCAGAGUCAUGGGCCUGCCUUUAAAUAGCCAGAGCUUCCUGUCAGCUAGGUACUCCAAACUUCUUUCCCUUGCUUCCCAACGUCUGCGUUCAACGUGGCCUUCGGGUAACAAUGCUGAGGAAGACGGCAAUCCUUUCAGUGCUGCUGGCUCUGAUUCUGGUUGAUCUGCUAAAGGCACAAGGUACCCCUGUUACCCCUCUGCUUGGGGCAACAAGUGUGGAACAAAGCAGAGAUUCCAGUGUGCAACCAAGCACAGAGUCCCCCCUGGACUACAGCAGAGACCCAUACAAAGAGGAAGGCAUGGAACAAAUUGGGAACACUGGAGUGCAAGAAGGUGGACAGGCCACUUGGGAGCUGAGCGGAGAGCCAAGUACUGACUCUACCCCCAACCCAAGUGUGGAGCCAAGCAAAGAGUCAACCACCGAAAUAUCUGAAUGAACUGCAACAUUAAGUCCUGAUGGAAAAGCAACAGCCACACUCACCUGCUGAGUUGACUUUGCCACAUAUGAACACACAAUUAGUGCUUGCAGCAAACUGGACAGCAGAGCAGAACUUGCUGCAGCCUAGAACAACAGCUUGUAGGAAAAUAGUAACCACGGCCUUCAGUCCAAGAACUUGGUUUCAUUCUUGUUUAUUUCAACUGUAAAAGUUUAGUUUGAUCACAGGUGACCUGUGCUGUGCUGCUUCCAUAGUAAUUGGAAAUAAAGAAUGUCAGUGCAACUACA
rnacentral:lncRNA from 1 species